rnacentral:rRNA from 1 species
AUGCAGAAUCGUUUCGGUCUACUUGUCACGGACAUGAUGCCUAUAUACAUGAUCAUGCCUAGAUAUUCUCAUAAUUAUGCUCAAUUCUGUCAAUUGCUCAACAGUAAUUUGUUCACCCACCGUAGAAAACUUAUGCUCUCGAGAGAAGCCACUAGUGAAACCUAUGGCCCCCGGGUCUAUUCUCAUCAUAUCAAUCUCCAUCACUUUAAUCUUGUUUUGUUUUUACUUUGCCUUUUACUUUUCAAUUUGCAUCUUUAUAUCAAAAAUACCAAAAAUAUUAUCUAUCGGAUCUCACUUCCGUAA